rnacentral:tRNA from 1 species
GCAGAAGUAGUUCAGCGGUAGAAUACAACCUUGCCAAGGUUGGGGUCGCGGGUUCGAAUCCCGUCUUCUACUCCA